GUGUAUAGUCUAGUGGUCGCAGACGUCGCUUUGUAAGCGGCAACCCACGGGUUCGAUUCCCGGUAUACG
rnacentral:ncRNA from 14 species